UUAUUGAACUGAGGUGCGGAUGACAAGAGUACAGGAAACUGGAAAGGGGAUUUCGCCGAAACGUGAAAACGUUGGGGGCUGGUCAUAAUAGGUCAGUCACUGUCAUGAUAUCUGCCCAGAUACUCAUGAAGUGCAAUCAAUUAC
rnacentral:ncRNA from 2 species